UACCAGCACCCCGAGUGGUCGGGACGUUUAUUGGGCCUAAAGCAUCCGUAGCCGGUUCUACAAGUCUUCCGUUAAAUCCACCUGCUUAACAGAUGGGCUGCGGAAGAUACUAUAGAGCUAGGAGGCGGGAGAGGCAAGCGGUACCCGAUGGGUAGGGGUAAAAUCCGUUGAUCCAUUGAAGACCACCAGUGGCGAAGGCGGCUUGCCAGAACGCGCUCGACGGUGAGGGAUGAAAGCUGGGGGAGCAAACCGG
rnacentral:rRNA from 1 species